rnacentral:piRNA from 1 species
AUAUCUAGAGAUGCCUCUCCUCU